UUGAAAAGUGCACUUUUGUUGGCCGUUGUGAUGUCUGAAGUUGUAGGGUGCCUGAGAAAACGAUGCUUAAGUCUUCUGGAAAGGAGCGCCAUGGAGGGUGAUAGCCCCGUCUAGCAUUGACCUCAUAUAGGAUCUUAACAUGGAGUCGAGUUGUUUGGGAAUUCAGCUCAAAUGGGUGGUAUGCUCCAUCUAAAGCUAAAUAUCUGCGAGAGACCGAUAGUAAACAGUACUGUGAGGGAAGAUGAAAAAACUUGAAAAAAGUGAAAAGUACU
rnacentral:rRNA from 1 species